UAUCUCUGUAGAGUCUGCAUAUCAAUAAGCGGAGGAAAAGAAACUAACUAGGAUUCCCUUAGUAACGGCGAGUGAAGCGGGAAGAGCUCAAAUUUGAAAUCUUCAAGGCUUUACCUUGACGAAUUGUAGUUUAAAGAAGUGUUUUCUGUUGGAAGUUUCGGUAAAAGUUCUUUGGAAUAGGACAUCAUAGAGGGUGAGAAUCCCGUAUUUGACCAUUAUUUUCAGCUGUGUGAUACACUUUCAAAGAGUCGGAUUGUUUGGGAAUGCAGUCCAAAAUGGGUGGUAAAUUUCAUCUAAAGCUAAAUAUUGGCGAGAGACCGAUAGCGAACAAGUACCGUGAGGGAAAGAUGAAAAGAACUUUGAAAAGAGAGUUAAACAGUACGUGAAAUUGUCAAAAGGGAAGCGUUUGACACCAGUGUUGUUUUUCCGAAAAUCAAUUACGAAUGGCUUGAUUCUGUGUUGUAUUGACCUUAUCAGCUUUCUUCACUUUUUUCGAGUCUUUCUUAAUGCACUUUUCGGUUAACAAGUCAACAUCAAUUUCUUUUGUUGUAAAAGAGUAUUCGGAAGGUGGCUUUCUUUUUGGAGAAAGUGUUUAUAGCCCUAUACUUCUACAAUCGGAGAGAUUGAGGUCUGCAGCGUAGAUCCUUCGGGGUUAGAUACAUUUGUGCUAAGUUGUAGCUUUUCAUAGACAACUUGUUGACUAUGUUUAGUCAUGCGGCUUACUCGCUUAUGCUAUUUUACCUACGCUUAGGAUGUUGAAGAUGUAGCACAUCAU
rnacentral:rRNA from 1 species